rnacentral:rRNA from 1 species
UGAACGCUGGCGGCAGGCCUAACACAUGCAAGUCGAGCGGAAACGAUGGAAGCUUGCUUCCAGGCGUCGAGCGGCGGACGGGUGAGUAAUGCAUAGGAAUCUGCCCGGUAGUGGGGGAUAACUUGGGGAAACCCAAGCUAAUACCGCAUACGCCCUACGGGGGAAAGCAGGGGAUCUUCGGACCUUGCGCUAUCGGAUGAGCCUAUGUCGGAUUAGCUAGUUGGUGAGGUAAUGGCUCACCAAGGCCGCGAUCCGUAGCUGGUCUGAGAGGAUGAUCAGCCACAUCGGGACUGAGACACGGCCCGAACUCCUACGGGAGGCAGCAGUGGGGAAUAUUGGACAAUGGGCGAAAGCCUGAUCCAGCCAUGCCGCGUGUGUGAAGAAGGCCCUCGGGUUGUAAAGCACUUUCAGUGAGGAAGAACGCUUGUGGGUUAAUACCCUGCAAGGAAGACAUCACUCACAGAAGAAGCACCGGCUAACUCCGUGCCAGCAGCCGCGGUAAUACGGAGGGUGCGAGCGUUAAUCGGAAUUACUGGGCGUAAAGCGCGCGUAGGCGGCUUGAUAAGCCGGUUGUGAAAGCCCCGGGCUCAACCUGGGAACGGCAUCCGGAACUGUCAGGCUAGAGUGCAGGAGAGGAAGGUAGAAUUCCCGGUGUAGCGGUGAAAUGCGUANAGAUCGGGAGGAAUACCAGUGGCGAAGGCGGCCUUCUGGACUGACACUGACGCUGAGGUGCGAAAGCGUGGGUAGCAACAGGAUUANAUACCCUGGUAGUCCACGCCGUAAACNAUGUCGACUAGCCGU